rnacentral:rRNA from 1 species
GGGGAAUUUUCCGCAAUGGGCGCAAGCCUGACGGAGCAAUACCGCGUGAGGGAUGACGGCCUAUGGGUUGUAAACCUCUUUUUUCAGGGAGGAAUCAAUGACGUGUACCUGAAGAAUAAGCAUCGGCUAACUC